AUACCUUUCUCGGCCUUUUGGCUAAGAUCAAGUGUAGUAUCUGUUUUUAUCAGUUUAAUAUCUGGCAUAGUUAAAAGAUGCGUACAGGGGUGUAGUGCUCUUGCACCAUAUUACAUAUACUAGCACUAGUUACAUUACCAUAUCUACGUGAGGUAUUGUCUCUAAAGUUAUCAUACUGACGAUCCUCUAUACUAGUAGAGGCUGUCGUUAUCCUAUC
rnacentral:snRNA from 1 species